rnacentral:rRNA from 1 species
GACGAACGCUGGCGGCGUGCUUAACACAUGCAAGUCGAGCGGUAAGGCCCUUUCGGGGGUACACGAGCGGCGAACGGGUGAGUAACACGUGGGUGACCUGCCCUCAGCUCUGGGAUAAGCCUGGGAAACUGGGUCUAAUACUGGAUAUGACUCCACGGUGCAUGUCGUGGGGUGGAAAGCCUUGUGCGGCUGAGGAUGGGCCCGCGGCCUAUCAGCUUGUUGGUGGGGUGANGGCCUACCAAGGCGACGACGGGUAGCCGGCCUGAGAGGGCGACCGGCCACACUGGGACUGAGACACGGCCCAGACUCCUACGGGAGGCAGCAGUGGGGAAUCUUGCGCAAUGGGCGAAAGCCCUGACGCAGCGACGCCGCGUGAGGGAUGACGGCCUCGGUUGUAA